rnacentral:lncRNA from 1 species
AAGAGCCAUUCUAUGUGGAUUGGACUCCAGUUGCUGCCAUUGAGCCAGCUAACACGACUACCCAAGACAGAUGGGUGAAAAUAUGAUACUGGAUUGGGUUGAGCUGACUACAGGAGGACCACAUACAAGCUCAUCGUAGUCCUGCAGGCUGCAAGAAGUAGAACAAGGCUGGCUGAUCAGAGUAAGUCUAGUUCUAGGUCAAUUCGGAAGGUAAACAAUAGCAAAUACAAGGGCAUCCUGGAAUUACAAAUCUACUAUAGGUGAAAGUGAAGAUCUUAAAAUUUUGUUUUGUUAAUUUAAGCACUAGCCCGUUUAUAAUGAAACAUUAUACUUUGGAUAUUUCAUAGUUUAGGACAGCCAAAUUGGAAGACAAAGUUUGUUAUCAUACAUAUCUUUCUCAUUUACGAGUUGUUAGCUAUUACUGCAAAAUUGAUGAAUAACAAUUAUCAUUCAGAAUUUCAACCUGAAAGACUCUCCUAACUGGCGUGACCCUACGAACUUUCCUGAGAGCAUCCAUCUCGAAAUGCUAGAGGAUCAGCCGAUGAUUGUAACGACAUUUGAUGUUCUCCGUCCCUACAGAGAUGGCCAUGCUGAACGUCUACCUAAAUUUUAUGAUGAGAUCAAGUUAUUCACAGAUGAAAAACCAAAUACAGAAAAAAUUGGCAAAAUUGUGUACAUUCUGUUGUGAGAAGAGGCUUGCAGCUGUCUAUGACAAAAUUUACCUUGUUCUUGUAUGAUGUGCUUCUGCCGAUGAAUUUGGGUGGGAGACCGUAUAAAAGUGGCAACUCGACUUGCAGAUCUCUUGGCAUGGUUGCAUGAAAUCUGAUGUUUACAUGUAUUGCCCUUCUACUGCUGGAUCUGAUAACCAAAAAGGAGUAUGUGUUGAUUUUAUGUUUCAAUAAAUUUUGAAACAAAUACAUCGGUUAAAGAUUUUUAAGAGUUAUGUUUCAAUUAGUUUUGAAACAAAUGCAUCACUUAAAGUUUUGAGUUACAAAGGAAAUGAAUUUGACAAAUUCAUUAUUCAUAAGUUUUGAGUUACAAAGGAAAUGUAUUUGACAAAUUCAUUAUUCAUUAAGUUUUACGUUAUAGGUUCUUGAAA